UCAUAAAGCGGAGUUGGAGAAUGUUAAAUUAGAAUUGGCUGAGAUGAAGGAUAAAUAUGAGAAGCUAAGCUCAGAUUUGGCUGAUAUGAAGGAGUUAUUUGGAGGCUUUAUGGCUGAACGAAGUUUAAAUGAUAGGAUGUCUAAAGCACCCGCCGAGGAAGUUGAAGAUGUUGCAUCUGUUGACUGAUAUCACUGGACAAAAUCUAAACAUCAUGUGGCUCAAGAGAUUUUGGAGAAUUCAUGGUU